rnacentral:rRNA from 1 species
UACGAAGGGGGCUAGCGUUGCUCGGAAUUACUGGGCGUAAAGCGCACGUAGGCGGAUUUUUAAGUCGGAGGUGAAAUCCUGGAGCUCAACUUCAGAACUGCCUUCGAUACUGAGAGUCUUGAGUCCGGGAGAGGUGAGUGGAACUGCGAGUGUAGAGGUGAAAUUCGUAGAUAUUCGCAAGAACACCAGUGGCGAAGGCGACUCACUGGCCCGGUACUGACGCUGAGGUGCGAAAGCGUGGGGAGCAAACAGG